UUUUCAAAUUGAAUCAGAAAUCUAAUUCCCAAAUUGAGGAACCUAACCCUAAUCCCUCCUCACCACACUCAGCCGCAUCCUCUUUCCCUUUAAUCCCUUUCAAACCUAACACAGUAGCAGAGAAGGAGAGCUGUGAUCGAAAGAGAGGAAGAGCCACGCUGCCGCCGCUCUCCAGCCACCUCGCCACCACCGUCGCGCCGCCACCGUGCCAUCGUUGCUCCCAGCUCGCCGACAUCCUCCAUGUCGUUGCGCCACUGUUCGCAAAGAGGAGAGAGAGAGACGUUGAGACAGAGCAGCGCCGAGAGGGAGAGGAGCCUCCAUCAUCGUCGAUUCGUGCUCGCCAGAGGAAGCCGCUGCCGCCGAUGAGUUGUCGCCGCUGUGACGCGUCUGAGAGGAGAGAAGUCAUGCGUUGAAAGCCAUCGCGUCUUGUCGCCAAGGGUUCCAUCACAGCCAACCCGUCGCAGUUGGUGUCGCCGCCGUCCCUGUUGGAUUCCACCGUGGAGAAGAGAACGACACGAGGGAGAGAGGGAGACAGAGCCGUGCGAGCUAGAAGAGGCACUGUCCUUGAUGUUGCUGCCACGGUCGCUGGUGAGUCGUGCACCGCCAUCAGAGUCAGAAGACAGCAUCAGCCUUCUUGUUUUGGUUCCGAUUCCUCCAUUUCUAAAACUUUCUGUCACUUUGCUUCAAAAUUGCUGUUGUAACUCGUAUUGGUUUUGGGACUGUUAUGGCUGCUGCUGGUUUUGUUCAAGGCUACUGCUGCUGUGAGAAAGGAAAAAGAAAUUUGUCGCGAUUAAGGAAUUCUUCGAGUUCCGGUUAUUUGAGCUUGCUACUUUGAACUUUAUUGCAUGUGCAACUACUGAUGUAUUUUCCAUGACAAACUCUGGUACCAACUCUUAGCAAUGGUGUCUGGAUUCAGAAGCUACUAUGGUGGGGAUCAUGCUCCCACUUUGAGGCCUAAUUAACAAGAAGAGGUUGGCAGCAAUCUUGUGGCAUAAUGGUACUAUAGGAUGGAACAGUUUUGAAGAAAGAGUAAAGAAGAUGAUCCACGAAGGUCAGAAAGUUACAAUGAGGAAGUUUGGUAAAAGCAUUUACAGACAAUCAAGGUCUCCCACGUGCAUGUGUAGACAACCUUAACACCAUCAAUCAACACACUCACGCACCCAUUGUAUAAUAUUAGACUAAGACUAGCCCAAUGCACAUGGAGCUGAAUUACUUAUACUAUAUAGUAGUAUAGAUCUAAAAAUGUUAUUACUUAUAACUUAAUUUAUGUAUAAUUUUAUUGAUUUUAU